AAUGAAUUGCCUGAUUAAAAGGGUUACCUUGAUAGGGUAAAUUAUAAAGCGUUGCUUUAUUCAUUA
rnacentral:tRNA from 1 species